rnacentral:rRNA from 1 species
AGUGAACGCUGGCGGUAGGCCUAACACAUGCAAGUCGAACGGCAGCACAGGAGAGCUUGCUCUCUGGGUGGCGAGUGGCGGACGGGUGAGGAAUACAUCGGAAUCUACUCUGUCGUGGGGGAUAACGUAGGGAAACUUACGCUAAUACCGCAUACGACCUACGGGUGAAAGCAGGGGACCUUCGGGCCUUGCGCGAUUGAAUGAGCCGAUGUCGGAUUAGCUAGUUGGCGGGGUAAAGGCCCACCAAGGCGACGAUCCGUAGCUGGUCUGAGAGGAUGAUCAGCCACACUGGAACUGAGACACGGUCCAGACUCCUACGGGAGGCAUCAGUGGGGAAUAUUGGACAAUGGGCGCAAGCCUGAUCCAGCCAUACCGCGUGGGUGAAGAAGGCCUUCGGGUUGUAAAGCCCUUUUGUUGGGAAAGAAAUCCAUCUGGUUAAUACCCGGGUGGGAUGACGGUACCCAAAGAAUAAGCCCCGGCUAACUUCGUGCCAGCAGCCGCCGCCG